CCUCAUUCCACCUUUGGGUGCCAUAAGGACCCCAUAGGGCCCCAUAGGGUGCCAUAAGGAUCCAUAGGGAUCCAUAGGGCCCCAUAGGGCACCAUAGGGCCCCAUAAGCCGCCUCCUUGCACCUUUGGGUGCCAUAAGGAUCCAUACAUAUCCAUAGGGUGCCAUAGGGCCCCAUAGGGCACCUCCUUCCACCUUUGGGUGCCAUAGGGCCCCAUAGGAUCCCAUAGGGCCCCAUAAGGCACCUCAUUCCACCUUUGGGUGCCAUAAGGACCCCAUAGGGCCCCAUAGGGUGCCAUAAGGAUCCAUAGGGAUCCAUAGGGCCCCAUAGGGCACCAUAGGGCCCCAUAAGCCGCCUCCUUGCACCUUUGGGUGCCAUAAGGAUCCAUACAUAUCCAUAGGGUGCCAUAGGGCCCCAUAGGGUGCCAUAGGGCCCCAUAAGGCACCUCCUUCCACCUUUGGGUGCCAUAAGGAUCCAUAGCAACCCAUUGGGAGCCAUAAGGAUCCAUAGGGCGCCAUAAGGAUCCAUAGGGACCCGUAGGAAGCCAUAAGGAUCCACAGGGUGCCAUAGGGUGCCAUAGGGAGCCAUAAGGAUCCAUAGGGUGCCAUAGGGCCCCAUAGGGCACCAUAGGGCCCCAUAAGGCACCUCCUUGCACCUUUGGGUGCCAUAAGGAAGCCAGCCUCUCCUCUC
ensembl:lncRNA